UACGAAGGGGGCUAGCGUUGCUCGGAAUCUCUGGGCGUAAAGCGCACGUAGGCGGCUUUCUAAGUCAGGGGUGAAAUCCUGGAGCUCAACUCCAGAACUGCCUUUGAUACUGGAGAGCUUGAGUCCGGAAGAGGUGAGUGGAACUCCGAGUGUAGAGGUGAAAUUCGUAGAUAUUCGGAAGAACACCAGUGGCGAAGGCGGCUCACUGGUCCGGUACUGACGCUGAUGUGCGAAAGCGUGGGGAGCAAACAGG
rnacentral:rRNA from 1 species